UGGAAAACUUGACGAGGGCAUAAAGGAAGUACCUGGAAUGGGCGCGACAAAAUGCAGUUCACGAUCUCAGGGUCGAAAAUGACGAUUCUGAUCGGUCAAAAAUCUUUCCCAACGUCAAAAAUGGCAAAUGCACCGAACAAAAUGCAGUUUAAACGAUGAAAAAUGAUAGAGAAUGGAAGAACAGGGUCGCCGGAGAAGAAGCAAGGUCUGAAACUGUUUCGCGAAGAAGACGAAACUGUUUCGCGAUUUUUGUUUUUUUACCUUCAGAAGGAGAAUCUGUCGCGGUUCUACACUUAACCGCGGCAUAAAGGGGGAAUAGGCCGCGGUUCUACACUUAACCGCGACCUAUUCAUUUUAAAAAAAUAAUACAGAAUGGCAAUUUUGAAUUUUUUUUUAACUUAUAUGCCGCGGUUGGGCUCCGAACCGCGGCAUAUACCCUUAAAAUUUUAAAAAUUACAGAGACCAG
rnacentral:lncRNA from 1 species